rnacentral:rRNA from 1 species
GACGAACGCUGGCGGCGUGCUUAACACAUGCAAGUCGAACGGAAAGGCCCUGCUUGCAGGGUACUCGAGUGGCGAACGGGUGAGUAACACGUGGGUGAUCUGCCCUGCACUUCGGGAUAAGCUUGGGAAACUGGGUCUAAUACCGGAUAGGAGCCAUCUUUAGUGUGGUGGUUGGAAAGUUUUUUCGGUGUAGGAUGAGCUCGCGGCCUAUCAGCUUGUUGGUGGGGUAAUGGCCUACCAAGGCGGCGACGGGUAGCCGGCCUGAGAGGGUGUACGGCCACAUUGGGACUGAGAUACGGCCCAGACUCCUACGGGAGGCAGCAGUGGGGAAGAUUGCACAAUGGGCGCAAGCCUGAUGCAGCGACGCCGCGUGGGGGAUGAAGGCCUUCGGGUUGUAAACUCCUUUCGCUAGGGACGAAGCUUUUUUGUGACGGUACCUAGAUAAGAAGCACCGGCUAACUACGUG